rnacentral:rRNA from 1 species
CCUACGGGAGGCAGCAGUGAGGAAUAUUGGUCAAUGGGCGCAAGCCUGAACCAGCCAAGUAGCGUGCAGGACGACGGCCCUAUGGGUUGUAAACUGCUUUUAUGCGGGGAUAAAGUGUGCCACGUGUGGCAUAUUGCAGGUACCGCAUGAAUAAGGACCGGCUAAUUCCGUGCCAGCAGCCGCGGUAAUA